rnacentral:rRNA from 1 species
UGGGGAAUCUUUGGACAAUGGGGGCGAACCCUCGAUCCAGCCAUGCCGCGUGAGUGAUGAAGGCCUUAGGGUCGUAAAGCUCUUUCGCCUGUGAAGAUAAUGACGGUAGCAGGUAAAGAAACCCCGGCUAACUCCGUGCCAGCAGCCGCGGUAAUACGGAGGGGGUUAGCGUUGUUCGGAAUUACUGGGCGUAAAGCGCACGUAGGCGGACCAGAAAGUUGGGGGUGAAAUCCCGGGGGCUCAACCCCGGAACUGCCUCCAAAACUAUUGGUCUAGAGUUCGAGAGAGGUGAGUGGAAUUCCAAGUGUAGAGGUGAAAUUCGUAGAUAUUUGGAGGAACACCAGUGGCGAAGGCGGCUCACUGGCUCGAUACUGACGCUGAGGUGCGAAAGUGUGGGGAGCAAACAGGAUUAGAUACCCUGGUAGUCCACACCGUAAAACGAUGAAUGCCAGUCGUCGGGUAGCAUG